GGUUAAGCGACUAAGCGUACACGGUGGAUGCCCUGGCAGUCAGAGGCGAUGAAGGACGUGCUAAUCUGCGAUAAGCGUCGGUAAGGUGAUAUGAACCGUUAUAACCGGCGAUUUCCGAAUGGGGAAACCCAGUGUGUUUCGACACACUAUCAUUAACUGAAUCCAUAGGUUAAUGAGGCGAACCGGGGGAACUGAAACAUCUAAGUACCCCGAGGAAAAGAAAUCAACCGAGAUUCCCCCAGUAGCGGCGAGCGAACGGGGAGCAGCCCAGAGCCUGAAUCAGUGUGUGUGUUAGUGGAAGCGUCUGGAAAGGCGCGCGAUACAGGGUGACAGCCCCGUACACAAAAAUGCACAUGCUGUGAGCUCGAUGAGUAGGGCGGGACACGUGGUAUCCUGUCUGAAUAUGGGGGGACCAUCCUCCAAGGCUAAAUACUCCUGACUGACCGAUAGUGAACCAGUACCGUGAGGGAAAGGCGAAAAGAACCCCGGCGAGGGGAGUGAAAAAGAACCUGAAACCGUGUACGUACAAGCAGUGGGAGCACGCUUAGGCGUGUGACUGCGUACCUUUUGUAUAAUGGGUCAGCGACUUAUAUUCUGUAGCAAGGUUAACCGAAUAGGGGAGCCGAAGGGAAACCGAGUCUUAACUGGGCGUUAAGUUGCAGGGUAUAGACCCGAAACCCGGUGAUCUAGCCAUGGGCAGGUUGAAGGUUGGGUAACACUAACUGGAGGACCGAACCGACUAAUGUUGAAAAAUUAGCGGAUGACUUGUGGCUGGGGGUGAAAGGCCAAUCAAACCGGGAGAUAGCUGGUUCUCCCCGAAAGCUAUUUAGGUAGCGCCUCGUGAAUUCAUCUCCGGGGGUAGAGCACUGUUUCGGCAAGGGGGUCAUCCCGACUUACCAACCCGAUGCAAACUGCGAAUACCGGAGAAUGUUAUCACGGGAGACACACGGCGGGUGCUAACGUCCGUCGUGAAGAGGGAAACAACCCAGACCGCCAGCUAAGGUCCCAAAGUCAUGGUUAAGUGGGAAACGAUGUGGGAAGGCCCAGACAGCCAGGAUGUUGGCUUAGAAGCAGCCAUCAUUUAAAGAAAGCGUAAUAGCUCACUGGUCGAGUCGGCCUGCGCGGAAGAUGUAACGGGGCUAAACCAUGCACCGAAGCUGCGGCAGCGACGCUUAUGCGUUGUUGGGUAGGGGAGCGUUCUGUAAGCCUGCGAAGGUGUGCUGUGAGGCAUGCUGGAGGUAUCAGAAGUGCGAAUGCUGACAUAAGUAACGAUAAAGCGGGUGAAAAGCCCGCUCGCCGGAAGACCAAGGGUUCCUGUCCAACGUUAAUCGGGGCAGGGUGAGUCGACCCCUAAGGCGAGGCCGAAAGGCGUAGUCGAUGGGAAACAGGUUAAUAUUCCUGUACUUGGUGUUACUGCGAAGGGGGGACGCAGAAGGCUAUGUUGGCCGGGCGACGGUUGUCCCGGUUUAAGCGUGUAGGCUGGUUUUCCAGGCAAAUCCGGAAAAUCAAGGCUGAGGCGUGAUGACGAGGCACUACGGUGCUGAAGCAACAAAUGCCCUGCUUCCAGGAAAAGCCUCUAAGCAUCAGGUAACAUCAAAUCGUACCCCAAACCGACACAGGUGGUCAGGUAGAGAAUACCAAGGCGCUUGAGAGAACUCGGGUGAAGGAACUAGGCAAAAUGGUGCCGUAACUUCGGGAGAAGGCACGCUGAUAUGUAGGUGAGGUCCCUCGCGGAUGGAGCUGAAAUCAGUCGAAGAUACCAGCUGGCUGCAACUGUUUAUUAAAAACACAGCACUGUGCAAACACGAAAGUGGACGUAUACGGUGUGACGCCUGCCCGGUGCCGGAAGGUUAAUUGAUGGGGUUAGCGCAAGCGAAGCUCUUGAUCGAAGCCCCGGUAAACGGCGGCCGUAACUAUAACGGUCCUAAGGUAGCGAAAUUCCUUGUCGGGUAAGUUCCGACCUGCACGAAUGGCGUAAUGAUGGCCAGGCUGUCUCCACCCGAGACUCAGUGAAAUUGAACUCGCUGUGAAGAUGCAGUGUACCCGCGGCAAGACGGAAAGACCCCGUGAACCUUUACUAUAGCUUGACACUGAACAUUGAGCCUUGAUGUGUAGGAUAGGUGGGAGGCUUUGAAGUGUGGACGCCAGUCUGCAUGGAGCCGACCUUGAAAUACCACCCUUUAAUGUUUGAUGUUCUAACGUUGACCCGUAAUCCGGGUUGCGGACAGUGUCUGGUGGGUAGUUUGACUGGGGCGGUCUCCUCCUAAAGAGUAACGGAGGAGCACGAAGGUUGGCUAAUCCUGGUCGGACAUCAGGAGGUUAGUGCAAUGGCAUAAGCCAGCUUGACUGCGAGCGUGACGGCGCGAGCAGGUGCGAAAGCAGGUCAUAGUGAUCCGGUGGUUCUGAAUGGAAGGGCCAUCGCUCAACGGAUAAAAGGUACUCCGGGGAUAACAGGCUGAUACCGCCCAAGAGUUCAUAUCGACGGCGGUGUUUGGCACCUCGAUGUCGGCUCAUCACAUCCUGGGGCUGAAGUAGGUCCCAAGGGUAUGGCUGUUCGCCAUUUAAAGUGGUACGCGAGCUGGGUUUAGAACGUCGUGAGACAGUUCGGUCCCUAUCUGCCGUGGGCGCUGGAGAACUGAGGGGGGCUGCUCCUAGUACGAGAGGACCGGAGUGGACGCAUCACUGGUGUUCGGGUUGUCAUGCCAAUGGCACUGCCCGGUAGCUAAAUGCGGAAGAGAUAAGUGCUGAAAGCAUCUAAGCACGAAACUUGCCCCGAGAUGAGUUCUCCCUGACCCUUUAAGGGUCCUGAAGGAACGUUGAAGACGACGACGUUGAUAGGCCGGGUGUGUAAGCGCAGCGAUGCGUUGAGCUAACCGGUACUAAUGAACCGUGAGGCUUAACCU
rnacentral:rRNA from 1 species